GCCAACAAAGAGUGAAGCAAAGCAAAAGAAGAAAAAAAAAUGCAAUCAUUGCAGCAGAAGGCGUCGGAAUGGAGUGGGGUUGACCCGAAUGAUGCAUUCGCCAUUGAUGAAACCAAUCUCUUUGAAAAACUUGGUCUUCAGGCUUUCAUCAAUCUCUCUACCAAUUUCUACAACAGGGUGUAUGAUGAUGAGGAAGAGUGGUUUCGAUCAAUUUUCUCUAAUUCAAGUAAAGAAGAUGCCAUUAGGAAUCAAUAUGAAUUCUUUGUACAGAGAAUGGGAGGGCCUCCUUUGUACUCGGAGCGAAAAGGUCAUCCAGCAUUAAUUGGACGCCAUCGCCCAUUUCCAGUCACUCAUAAGGCUGCUGAUAGAUGGCUACAACAUAUGCAACAAGCACUAGACAGCGUUACAGACAUUGAUGAAGACUCCAAAACUAAAAUGAUGAACUUUUUCAGGCA
rnacentral:misc_RNA from 1 species